rnacentral:rRNA from 1 species
GAGAUAACUCCUACGGGAGGCAGCAGUGGGGAAUUUUGGACAAUGGGCGCAAGCCUGAUCCAGCCAUGCCGCGUGAGUGAAGAAGGCCUUCGGGUUGUAAAGCUCUUUCGGCUGGGAAGAAAUCGCACUCUCUAAUACGGGGUGUGGAUGACGGUACCAGCAUAAGAAGCACCGGCUAACUACGUGCCAGCAGCCGCGGUAAUACGUAGGGUGCGAGCGUUAUUCGGAAUUACUGGGCGUAAAGCGUGCGCAGGCGGUUGUGUAAGACAGACGUGAAAUCCCCGGGCUCAACCUGGGAACUGCGUUUGUGACUGCACGGCUAGAGUACGGCAGAGGGGGGUGGAAUUCCACGUGUAGCAGUGAAAUGCGUAGAGAUGUGGAGGAACACCGAUGGCGAAGGCAGCCCCCUGGGCCAGUACUGACGCUCAUGCACGAAAGCGUGGGGAGCAAACAGGAUUAGAAACCCUAGUAGUCCUCCACU